GACAGAGGGUGCAAACGUUUGUUCGGAAUUACUGGGCGUAAAGCGCGUGUAGGCGGCAGCGCAAGUCGGAUGUGAAAUCCCAUGGCUCAACCAUGGAAGUGCACCCGAAACUGCGUCGCUAGAGUCCUGGAGAGGAAGGUGGAAUGCUUGGUGUAGAGGUGAAAUUCGUAGAUAUCAAGCGGAACACCGGUGGCGAAGGCGGCCUUCUGGACAGUGACUGACGCUGAGACGCGAAAAGCGUGGGGAGCAAACAGG
rnacentral:rRNA from 1 species